rnacentral:rRNA from 1 species
UACGAAGGGGGCUAGCGUUGCUCGGAAUGACUGGGCGUAAAGGGCGCGUAGGCGGUUUGCACAGUCAGAUGUGAAAUUCCUGGGCUCAACCUGGGGGCUGCAUUUGAUACGUGUAGACUUGAGUGGGGAAGAGGGUCGUGGAAUUCCCAGUGUAGAGGUGAAAUUCGUAGAUAUUGGGAAGAACACCGGUGGCGGAGGCGGCGACCUGGUCCUUGACUGACGCUGAGGCGCGAAAGCGUGGGGAGCAAACAGG